rnacentral:rRNA from 1 species
AUUGAACGCUGGCGGCAGGCUUAACACAUGCAAGUCGAGCGGAGAUGAGGUGCUUGCACCUUAUCUUAGCGGCGGACGGGUGAGUAAUGCUUAGGAAUCUGCCUAUUAGUGGGGGACAACAUUCCGAAAGGAAUGCUGAUACCGCAUACGUCCUACGGGAGAAAGCAGGGGAACUUCGGACCUUGCGCUAAUAGAGGAGCCUAAGUCGGAUUAGCGAGUUGGUGGGGUAAAGGCCUACCAAGGCGACGAUCUGUAGCGGGUCUGAGAGGAUGAUCCGCCACACUGGGACUGAGACACGGCCCAGACUCCUACGGGAGGCAGCAGUGGGGAAUAUUGGACAAUGGGGGGAACCCUGAUCCAGCCAUGCCGCGUGUGUGAAGAAGGCCUUAUGGUUGUAAAGCACUUUAAGCGAGGAGGAGGCUACUGAGACUAAUACUCUUGGAUAGUGGACGUUACUCGCAGAAUAAGCACCGGCUAACUCUGUGCCAGCCGCCGCAGUAAGAC